ensembl:lncRNA
CGUUUUUUUGCAGAUUGUUCUUGGAGAGCUUCAGUGCUCAGUACUUAGUAUAAUAAAUAAGAUGGGCCCUUAGGGCAUAAUAAUUAACCUAACAAAUGUUUAAGAAAGAUUUUUAACAAGGUAAGAGCAGGUCUUGUCACUUCAAAGGUGUAAGAGAUUAUUCUUUUGCACUAUUGUCUCAAAGUUUGCUGAGGAACACUGAUGGACACAUCCUGGGCAAGGGCUGAGAAAUCUUUUGUCUGAAGGACACAGACGGUAAAGUCCGGACAAGUCCUUCUCAAAGUUGGCGAAAUCUUUUGUCUGAAGAUUUUACAAGCCAGGGGCAACGAGAGAGAGAGAAAUCGCAGCUUAAUGGCCGGGAAGCAGUCUUUUGUGUGGGUUUAUCUCGAGGGAGAUAGCCAUCUCGGGGGGGUACUGCACAUGGCUCUUACCCAAGCUUACCCAAGCUCUUACCCACACUGGCAGAAGAAGAAGGAUAAAAAGGGAGCCAACAACCAAGAGAUUAGGUGUCAGACAUCAGAAGCCUCACGAGCUGAUGCCUGAAAGCUGAAGGACUCUCUUCUGGACCUGCUACCUGAGAUCUGCUGCUUCCUCCUGGACUUACCCAGCUGCUUGUUCCUGGCACCUGCUUGCAGCUUAAAGCCUGUCACGCUGCUGCUGCUCUCCCCCUGCGCUUUUGCCUCGGACAAUCGGAACAACAUACAACGGGACGCUGCUGGAUCUUGGUGCCUUCGAACUUCUUCCCCACAUGUCCCAGAAGAGGGAAGCGUCGUGCGAGGGGAAGCCCUGUCACUGUUGAUAUAAUCAAGUAAACAGCAACAAUGUGAUAAUACAAGAGAAAUGCAGAGGACUGGUAUUUUGUUUAGUGUCAGUGUGAGGACAAUGUUGGUAAUCUCUUUCAAAUUCUUUUCAAUAAAAACAAUCAACUAUUUGCAGGAAUAUUUGCCCUCUUGAUUUAGUGCAUGGUUCCCAGCUUAGAAUGCAGUUACAAAAUAUCUCUUUAAAAAAUAAUUCUUUAACAUCUGUAUUUUUAUAUGUAGUUGUUCUGAGUUUUAAAAUAUGUUCUGAUAAAGGAUCAUCCAGAUAUCUCUAAUAUCUGGUGACAAAAUUUUGUGCCAUAGCAUCAGUCAAAAUGAGACUCAGUCAAAACGUGACUCAGACAAAAUGUUUUGGUGUUGUAUCUACCAUAACACUGAUGAUAGAUGAGAAUGUUCUGUAUUUUGUCAUAUGGGCACAUAAAUCAUAAAAUAUGUCUUUAUACAUAUCAUGUUAUUUAGUGCACAUUUUCACCAACAACACCACAUGAUGCAAAGACGUUGAUACCAUACAUUUUCUGCAUUCUGUAGGCAUGGAGGAGUAUAGGAAGUUUGAUAGACAGCUAAGGAACAGGAGUCUCCUACAUCAGGAAGGAUACACACCUUGUAUACCAUCAUUUUUAGCACAUAUAUCUUCCUUAUAAGACAUGCACUCUAAAAAUUUGAAAUUUUGUCUUUGAUUCAGCAGUCAUUUGCUACUGACAGGGAUCUUGAACAAUACACCAGUCAACAAGUAGCAAUUCAAGUGCCCAGAAAUCUUAGACUGUGGGUAAUUUUACCAAUAAGUAAGCGAUGAUUUUAAAAAGCUAGAAGGAGACUUGGUAAUUCCCAAUACAUGUGAUGAUCUGAGCCUUAUGACUAGUCUUAUGUUAGCUUACAGUGAAGGAGAGAUUUCCCAGAGGUUUAUUGUUGUGGUUUAACCCAGCAGGUGGCUGAGCUUCAUGCAGUUGCUUGCUCACUCACUCCCCCUUUCCAAGUGGAAUGGGGGAGAGAAUCAGGAAAAAAAAAAAAAAAAAAAAAAAAAAGUAGAACUUAGUACAAAAAAAAGUAGAAUAAUGUACAGUACAGCUAAUUUUCAGAUGUCUGCUAACAUUUAAUUUAAAGCUUCACCAUUACUUUGUUUUUAUACAUCUUGUGUAAUCAUUUGACAAUUUUUUGAAAUGGUAGAUUAAUAUUAGUACGAAUGAGCUAGCAAGCUGUCCAAGGGUAAGUAGAAAGCAGAGGAAUGAGAAAGCCUGCUUAUGAAUAGUAAGCAAAAUAAAAACAAGUCAUGGUAAAGGAUUUAUUUUUUUUUUUUUUCUUUAAUAUUGCAUUGUAUAUAUUAACUGUGAAGCAAAUGACUGGAAAACAACAGUGAGCUAUUCAUGGUAUCAUGCUAAACUAUGGUAAAAAAUAAGCAUGUUUCCUAUUUAAAUGUUGAAGGUUUGAACAUUAUCUUUUAUUCUUCUCUGCGGUGGCAUGCAGAUCAAAAGAUGACAGUCACGUAGUAAAAUGCAUAUUUAUUAAUUUACAUUGUAGUAAUUUAAGCAAUUGUCGAAUAAUUUAGAUGUCUUGCAUAUAUUUACCUUCAUAACUGGGUUCUGAAAAUAAGAAGGCUAUAUUUGAACAGACUAUCAUGAAUGUGAAAAUAUAUUCCCAAAAAUAAGCAAAUUCAAGAAGAUUAUAUUGGUUUUGGUUUGCUUUGUUGUUUUAUUAUUUUAUCUUACUUUUUAAUUCAUCCUACCCGCAUAAGUGCCUAAGGAGAAUAUGCAGAGUCAUGUGCACUCCCUAACAGAUGCCUCCUAUUUUAAACACCACUGCCUAAUUAGAUGAGAACUGCACAAGGCAAAAUAGCAGAACCUGCAAGCAGAAUGAGGAACAUGUGGGAUUUACAUUUUUCAUUAGUCCAAAUCUGCACAUCCACUAACUCAAACAUUUUUGACCACAAGAUUAAAAAUCAGAAAAAUAUGAAAGAGUUAAGAGUUAGCAAAGGUAUCAGAGAUGAAUAUGAGGGCCUCAUCAGAGGCUGCCCAUUCCUAUUUCAGUUCUUUCUGCAGGUUGCUCUAAAUGCAUCUUGCUUGGUUCCCGACAGUGUUGUUCUCACUGAUGGAGAGUGAAGCCAGAAAGAAUAACCCUAAGGACAGGUGCUGUGACUUACCCUCCUGGAAGUGCUUUUUGCUUGAGGGAUCCUGGCUGCUAGUACUUUCCUCCUCGUUUCUCUCUCCUGCACCAAUGGAGAGCGAAAAGAAGACCACAGAACCAUAACUGCCAGCCAUCUGCUUUCUCUGUGGACUAGAAAUAAGCAUCAAAAAAUCAGAAAUAAUUAACCCCCAUUAUGACUUGAUCUAUUAGAAAUGUUACACUCUGAUUAUGUAGAGAAUGCAAAGAUUAUGUAAAGAUAGUGAGAAAAAGGGAUAGUUAUUAUUUAACAUUCCAAUUUUCCCAGUGAAAAGGAAGCAGAAAAUAUAAAGAAAAAAUAGAUAUUCUAAGCAAAGUCAGGAGUUCUACAAAUGAAUACUCUAUCAUCCACUCCAAUUUCUCCCAGUGUUGUUAAUGUUUUUUACAUUAACUCUAUUAUGUCAUGUACAUUCACUCUAUAAACUACAAAAGCUAUAAGCUGAGGAUUCUUUUUUUCUUAUUAUUAUCAUGGACACUUCAUAGCCAAUAGUAUUCAUCCAGAACAUUUCAAAAUAAUGGAUAAUGCAGGAAGACAGUAGAAGGGAAGCUUUUAGCACACACGUCAACAAAAUGCACAAUGUUGACUAACAAAUCAUUAGGGGCAAUUUAUGACUACAAAAAAAAAAAGGCAGAAAUAUUAAAAAAAAAAGAAAAAAUGAUAAUAUUUCAGACAAUAAAGUACUAGAAAAUAGAAUAAACUUUUGCUGGAAAUUAAAUAUCACUAUGAUGGGUGGAUGAGAUUUUUUAGAGAAAAAGAUUUUAAUGACAAAAUAAUGUUUGUAAAUAAAAUUGUCUGAAUAUAGUGUCAAAUUAAUUUGGUUAUCUUCAAGAAAACUAAUCACUUCAAAAUUUGCCCCUAUAUAUCUAUGCAAAAUAAAUCUUACCCUCAGCACCCCUCCUUCAAUCUUGGCCAUGUAGAAGUCACUUUGAAGGACCCCCUAAAUUUAUCAACACUUGCUGAGCAUUUAUAGAGACCAAACAAUUGAUAUUAGCACAAUAACACAGUGGGUGGUGUGUUUCAGCAGUGCCAACAGUGAUAAUGGGUCACUUCCAUUGCUGUAGAUAUUUAGGAGUGUAUCAUGCAGCUCAUUGCUGGCAAAAAAAAAAAAAAAAAAAAAAAUGCACAGCUAAUCGUGGUGACUGUAUAUAAAAAUAGUGUUUUGUGGCUGAGAAUUUUCUCUAUCAAUAGUGUUAUUACAAGCUUUGAAUCUGUUGUAGUUUCCAUGGAAAUACAUAGGAGGCAUUACUUUUGAAGCAACCUACAUACUUCUGGAAACAUUUUAGGCUAACCAAUAAUUUUACCUAUUUUUAUGUAUAUAUACAAACAUAUAAGUAUUCACACACCUACUUCAAACAUCUUGCUAUCUUCACAAUUGUUACCCUUUGUAUUUCACAUUUUCUUUCACAGCCUUCAGUUUUCUUAUUUCCUUCAUUCUAGAAGAAUAUUGUUUUCUCUUUUAAUUUUUAAUACUUUCACUGCUUAUAAAAUGUUACAUCAAAGUUCAGUGUCUGGAUUCAAAAUGUACACCUGUAUAAGUAAAAUAGUAUAAGGGCAUUAACCUGACCACUGGCCUGUGGCAGUCCACAGAGUUACCAUUAACAGAUGUCAUCUAGCACUCUCUGAGUAUUCUCUGAGUGUAGUCCAAGGAACAAAGGCAUCAGCAACAGAUCUUUUCUAUUUUCUGUUUUAUAUGUAGUCACCCUAUUCCAGAAGAGAAAAAGAGUGUAAUGGACAAGGAGACUGUUCCCCCUCUGAUGAAAGGUAAUGGGGAGCUGGCUUCCUCAGACAUAGAAAAAGCUGAGGCACUCAAUGAGUUCUUCUCCUCAGUCUUCAUGGGUGGUCAGGCUUCCUGUGUCUGCUAGGACCAUGAGCCUCUAGGUGAGGGUAUGGGGGGUGGUUUUUGUUGCACUGUAACGGUGGAACAAGUCCGAGUCCUCCUCAUGAAUCUGAAUGUGUAUGGCCAUACAUACUGGGGCCCCCAGUGCAGGAAGGACAUGGAGCUCUUGGAGCGGGUCCAGAGGAGGGCCACUAAGAUGAUCAGAGGGCUGGAUCUCCUCUCCUGUGAAGAAAGGCUGAGGGAACUGGGCUUGUUCAGCUUGGAGAAGAGAAGGCUCUGGGGAGACCUCCUUAUGGCCUUUCAGUACUUGAAGGGAGUGUAUAAACAGGAGGGGGAAUGACUGUUUACUAGGGUGGAUAGUGAUAGGACAAGGGGGAAAGGUUUUAAACUGGGACAGGGGAGGUUUAGAUUAGAUAUUAGGAGGAAGUUUUUCACUCAGAGGGUGGUGACACACUGGAACAGGUUGCCCAAGGAGGUUGUGGAUGCUCCAUCUCUGGAUGCAAUGAACACUAGUCUGGAUGUGGCUCUGGGCACCUGGUCUGGUGGUUGGCAACUCUGCACAUAGCAGGGGGGUUGAAGCUAGAUGAUCAUUGUGGUCCUUUUCAACUCAGGCCAUUCUGUGAUUCUAUGAUUCUAUGGUAUCAGUCAUGCCUUGCCAAGUGGUAGGGAUUAUCAAUACCAUAGUUUUGUAAUAAAUUGGACUCUGUAGAUAUUAAGUGAGUUUGUAAAAAAAAAGAUGAGGAAGUACUGAAAUUGGCCUAAAAAUAGAAGAAGAAUGUUUGUUUGUUUGUUUUUUAAUUGAAAUAUAUUUUUGAUUCAUAUUUUUGACUUAUAUUUUUUGCUCAUGUAACACCCAUACUGUAUGGUAAAUUUCUCCUCCAUUAGAAAUCUACGUUAAAAAAAAAAGAAAGACUUUCAGAAGUAGGACUUGGAGGAUUAUACACAAUUUCAGGAUAACAAGGACUGCUGUUGUUUAAACAAGAAGCAAAAGAAACAACGGGAUGCCUACUGAACUCAAAACACUGAUGAAAUUUCCAUGAGAAUGGCCAACUUUGAGGAUUAAAUGGCAGCUAAUGUAACCUUAUUUUAAAAAGUUCUGUUUUGUUUUGUUUUAUUUUGUUUCCACUUUGAGUCUAUGAGACCUUGAAAUGUCAAGUUUACUCUUAUUAGUGUGUUGAUGUCAGUUAUGUUAGUGUGAUUGUAUAUGUAUUUCAGAGUAUGAUAGUUUUCUUCAAAAGAUUGUAAAGGAGAAAAAUAUAACAGAAACCACAAUUUAAUUCACUUUAUUAUAUGUAAAUAUAAGUAUUUUGUAGUAAUUAAUCUGAUACGGUAACUCAUCAUUAACUAUUGGGUAUGUGGUAGAUUUCCACAGAGAUUCAAGCAUUUUUUCUUGACGUUGCUACCAAACUCAAAAAUUAUACAAAAUCCUACUGAUUUUGUUCUAUCUAGAUUCCAACUAACUUAUUCCUAAUAUAAAUAAACAAAUAAAACAAACAGACAAAAAAAGCAACCCAAAGCCCCCAGAAUCCUAUAUGGCUUUUUAAAAUGUUUAUUUUAAAAAAAGAUUGAUUAAUCUUACCUGACAUUUUUUUAGCACAGAAGCUUCUAAAUAUAAUCAAGAGCACAAUGAGAACAAAUGUACUGUUAUAAAUUUGUACAUUAGUUUUUAAUGGAUUGUUCUCAUAAAUAUUUGGUGCAAUAAAAGAUCACAUAUUACUGAACAUUCUGUGCUUUUUUUUUUUCAGAUUUGUUUGGUUAAAAUGAGGUCAAAGAGUAAAUUUGUUAACCUUCUAACAGCAUGCUUUUGACUAUUAAAUAUUAUUUGGAUCAUUGUCUUCUAUUUUAUUUUAUUAAGUACUUGCAGAAAUGCGUCCAGUUUUUCUUAUGAAACAGUACCCAACUUUGAUACCUGACAUGGUUAAGAUCAAUAUUUUCAGUAUAAAAGUAAUACAUGUGUAAAAUUGUAACAUUGAUGAAGAACAGCAGAAUAUGAACAAUGACACAUUGAGUUUUCAUUUGCAAUUCCUCAAAUUGUAAGUAUGUGAUAGUUAUUAUUUGUUCAUAAGUUCUGAAGAAUACUAAAGAUUUCACCUUCCUGAGUGAUGUAUUUUAUCCUGUAACUUUUUUUAAGUAGUUACAUAACAAAAUCACCUAAAAACUAGGUAUUUCCAAAAUGCAAGAAGCGAGUGCUGAUAGUUACAAAAGGAUUUAUUAGCAUGCUGCAAAAGAUUGAGACAAGUGAGCAGCUCAUUACUGAUUUAGUAAGAGAGAAUGACCGUACUUGAUGACCUUGCUAGCUUGUCUUUACCUAUGUAUCUUUUCUUACAUGUGAAACAGAUAAAUGUGAGAAAUGCCAUUUCAUGGACACAUAAGCAUAAUUGUUCUUACUUUUAGUCUUAAUGUGCCCAACAAUCUCCUUUCUACCUUCUCCUCAUGGGACUUUGGUAGAGAAAAAUGUCACUGAACAAGAAGAAAUAAACAAUAAUGCAAAGUUCUAGUUAAAAAAAAAGGAUGGGUUAUCAGAAAUGGUCAAUAAAGAUAUUCUUCCUGUACUAAGGAAUGCAGUUAUAUCAGUUAGAAGUGUUAUUACAGAAAUCCUUAUCAAUAUGACUUAAUAAAGACUCCUGUUAGGAAAGGGAAUGACUUGAAGGGAUUCAGCAGAGUUACCUGGAUAAGACAGUAUUAAUCUGUAAAGAAAUUUUCAAGAAUAGUGCAGAGGUUUUAUGAGUAUCUUAUAAAGAUGAAUCACUCUUUGUCUUUAAUUUAGGAUAGCUCCCUAUAUGUCACUAUCUGUUAGAACAUCAUGUCCAUUUUACAUUUGUAUUAUUUUCCUUUCUGCUUUAUGCUUGUCAGCACCUUGACAACACUAUCAGUCCCUACUGUUCCUGCCCAGCUCAGCCUUCCUCCAGCCUAAUAGUUGUCCAGACACUCCAUUUCUUCUGUCUAGGGCUCUCCUGCCCCAGCAAUGCCAUAGAAGGAACAGUCUGCAAGUAGCUUGUCUCUUACCCCAUCUCCUUUCGUUUCUUACUAGACAUACCAGCUCCAGUCUUGUCCCAUUUGGAGCACACUUAUUCUUGCUUCUCCCUGGUAAAUCUCCUAGCCCCAUCUCUUUACUACAGUAAUAAGGGUGUGAUUAGGUGUAUUCUGCCUUUGUAUUAUUUUUUUGACAAAUAAGAUAUUAUCCAGGAAAAAUAACUCUUACUCAACAUGUCUAUGCUGACAUAUUUGAUCAUUUUUAUGGUUUUAUUACUUUAAUUUACUUGUGUCCUGUCAACACUCCCAGAGGCACCCAAAAUGUGUAGAAAAAUACUUAAUACAAGCUUUAAUUUGAUAUUGUUUCUGUUACAAAAUAAAUCUUUUAUUUGUUCACAUUUUUUUUCUUUUUUAUUGUUUUAAUGGAAAGUGAAGCUUUUUGUGGAGAAUGUGUUUUAGGUUAAAUGCUGCUUGUGCAUUAUAUUCUUCUUUUAACUUUUUAACUUAAAAACGAUUCGCUACGUAUUUAAAUUUUUUUCUUCAGACUAUGCACAUUUUAUAUUAAAAUAAUAGUUUACUGAUUCCAGUGCAGAGCAUUAGGGGACUACAGAUAUCUUUAUUAGAUUGUGUUAGGACAACAGAGUAUCCAUGGCAUGUCAACCAUUAAUAAGAAAUAAAUGUGUUUCAUAUCUCUAAGUGUAACAAUUUACUCUAUCAACUUUGUAGUUGAGUGAUUAUGUAUUUCUCUGGAAAUUUCAAUGCUGUUUUCUGAAAAACUACUGUCAAAAACACAACCUCUGUGAUACUGUCAGCAUGAAGAAACCUCUUUAUAUUUUACUUGAGAAGGUUCUCCUUAUGAAUUCUUUAAAGAGAAACAUAACCUUUUUAGCUGUGAAUAAUUAAAAGUUAUGAUAAAUCUAUUUAGGAAGCAUUCAAGGUAAUGGAUUUUCAGACAGGAGAGUAUUUCUGCAUAGGUUUUACUUCCAUGGCUUUUUUUUUUUUUUUUUUUUUUUUGUAGUUAAGGCCACAAAACACUUGUGUGAAAUU